rnacentral:rRNA from 1 species
AACGUAGGAGGCGAGCGUUAUCCGGAUUUACUGGGCGUAAAGCGCGUGCAGGCGGCUCGAAAAGUUGGAUGUGAAAGCUCCUGGCUUAACUGGGAGAGGUCGUUCAAUACUUUCGGGCUUGAGGAUGGGAGAGGGAGGUGGAAUUCCGGGUGUAGUGGUGAAAUGCGUAGAUAUCCGGAGGAACACCAGUGGCGAAGGCGGCCUCCUGGCCCAUUUCUGACGCUCAGACGCGAAAGCUAGGGUAGCGAACGGG